GAUGAACGCUGGCGGCGUGCCUAAUACAUGCAAGUCGAGCGAACAGACGAGGAGCUUGCUCCUUCGACGUUAGCGGCGGACGGGUGAGUAACACGUAGGUAACCUACCUAUAAGACUGGGAUAACUUCGGGAAACCGGAGCUAAUACCGGAUAAUAUUUCGAACCGCAUGGUUCGAUAGUGAAAGAUGGCUUUGCUAUCACUUAUAGAUGGACCUGCGCCGUAUUAGCUAGUUGGUAAGGUAACGGCUUACCAAGGCAACGAUACGUAGCCGACCUGAGAGGGUGAUCGGCCACACGAGAAAUGAGACACGGUCCAGACUCCUACGGGAGGCAGCAGUAGGGAAUCGUCCGCAAUGGGCGAAAGCCUGACGGAGCAACGCCGCGUGAGUGAUGAAGGUCUUCCGAUCGUAAAACUCUGUUAUUAGGGAAGAACAAACGUGUAAGUAACUGUGCACGUCUUGACGGUACCUAAUCAGAAAGCCACGGCUAACUACGUG
rnacentral:rRNA from 1 species